CUGGGAACUGCAUUUGAUACUGGCAAGCUAGAGUAUNGUAGAGGGGGGUAGAAUUCCAGGUGUAGCGGUGAAAUGCGUAGAGAUCUGGAGGAAUACCGGUGGCGAAGGCGGCCCCCUGGACGAAGACUGACGCUCAGGUGCGAAAGCGUGGGGAGCAAACAGGAUUAGGUACCCUGGUAGUCCACGCCGUAAACGAUGUCGACUUGGAGGUUGUGCCCUUGAGGCGUGGCUUCCGGAGCUAACGCGUUAAGUCGACCGCCUGGGGAGUACGGCCGCAAGGUUAAAACUCAAAUGAAUUGACGGGGGCCCGCACAAGCGGUGGAGCAUGUGGUUUAAUUCGAUGCAACGCGAAGAACCUUACCUGGUCUUGACAUCCACGGAAGUUUUCAGAGAUGAGAAUGUGCCUUCGGGAACCGUGAGACAGGUACUGCAUGGCUGUCGUCAGCUCGUGUUGUGAAAUGUUGGGUUAAGUCCCGCAACGAGCGCAACCCUUAUCCUUUGUUGCCAGCGGUCCGGCCGGGAACUCAAAGGAGACUGCCAGUGAUAAACUGGAGGAAGGUGGAGAUGACGUCAAGUCAUCAUGGCCCUUACGACCAGGGCUACACACGUGCUACAAUGGCGCAUACAAAGAGAAGCGACCUCGCGAGAGCAAGCGGACCUCAUAAAGUGCGUCGUAGUCCGGAUUGGAGUCUGCAACUCGACUCCAUGAAGUCGGAAUCGCUAGUAAUCGUGGAUCAGAAUGCCACGGUGAAUACGUUCCCGGGCCUUGUACACACCGCCCGU
rnacentral:rRNA from 1 species